UGUAUAUAAAUAGACACAAGAAGACAAACCCCACCAACCCCAAGCUUCCAUCUUCUUCUUCCCUCUUUUCUCUCUCUCCCUCUCUUGGAAACCGUCCACCAUGGGAGCUCUCUCCCUCCAUUUUUGUUCUUCUUAAAGCUUGAUUUUCCAAGCUUUCUCCUCCCCAAAACCCAUAGCUCACUUCACAAAAAAUUUAGCCGACACCAUAAGGAAGCGUUAGAUACCCAUAAGAAGAAGAAAAGUUGAAGUUUGAAGUUGGGUUACAAGAGGUACUGAAGAUCAGCAGCCUCCACAGUAGUGUUCGAACCAAGUUCCGACCAAAUCUGCUACCGACCAGAGUCACCUCACCAGU
rnacentral:misc_RNA from 1 species